rnacentral:rRNA from 1 species
ACUCAAAGGAAUAGACGGGGACCCGCACAAGCGGUGGAGCAUGUGGUUUAAUUCGACGGUAAGCGAGGAACCUUACCAAGGCUUGACAUGUAGCUGCAAGCGCACGGAAACGUGUGACCUUCGAGGGUGCUACACAGGUGCUGCACGGUUGUCGUCAGCUCGUGUCGUGAGAUGUUCCCUUAAGUGGGAGAACGAGCGCAACCCCCAUGUUAUGUUGAUUUUCAUAACAGACUGCCGGCGUUUAAGCUGGAGGAAGGCGGGGAUGACGUCAAAUCAGCGUGGCUCUUACGCCUUGGGCGACACACGUGCUACAAUGGGUAGGAACAAAGGGACGCAACACCGCAAGGUAGAGCAAAUCCUCUCAAAAACUACCCUCAGUUCAGAUUGUGGGCUGCAACUCGCCCGCAUGAAGCUGGAAUCGCUAGUAACCGUGAAUCAGCCUCGUCACGGUGAAUACGUUCUCGGGUUUUGCACACACCGCCCGU